CUGAAACUUGAUUAAUAGUAAUAAAAAUAAAACACAACACACAUUAGGUAUGUGUGUGUAGCGACCUGGAGGAGGAACAAGGGAGUAAACCCUUGUUCAAUCUUAAUCCAUCAAAUUGGAGGGCAAUUCGAACCUUGAAUCCGUGCAUCAACGCAUAUUAACGAUCACCUAAACUAGGGGAUCACAAGGAAACUCGCGUGAAGCAUUGGGUAACCAAGCCGGGAUGAAAGCUCGGUUGAAGGAUAAGCUUUAAGGCACACGGCUUUAUAUUUCGUUGUAUUUUGUUAAACUUAUAUGUUAUUGAACGAGGAAGUAAUACUCAUGAAGUUCGGUUCAUUCAUAAGUGAUGGUUUUCAUACGAACAAACCGAAUGGAUAAAUAAAAAGGUGAUAAGCCGGUUUGUUCAUAA